rnacentral:misc_RNA from 1 species
CACUUUAUACACCAAUUACUUUAUUAAUCUAUAAUAUAUAUAACAGCGAAAGGUCACUCACUCAUCACGAAAUCUCUGAAACUAUAACACCUACAAACUUGAAAUUUGGCAGUAAGCUGAGAACGGAUUUUACGAAACUCGACCCCUAAGGGGAUAAAACGGGGGUUGCAAGUUUGUAUGAAAGUCCUAUGUUUUUGAAGUAAGAGACUUCAAAUUUAAAAUGUAUGCUCUAUAGAUGAUGAGAAGGUGUCCAAAUAAUGUAUCUUUAGAAAUCAACUCCCUUUUGGGGUUAAAACGGGGGAUGGUAGGUUAACUCACUAAUCACGAAAUCUCCGAAACUAUAACAGCUUCAAACUUUAAAAUUUGCAGGUAGGUUUCUUAUAGGGCGUUAACAUCCGCUAAGAACUAAUUUUACGAAACUCGACCCCUAAGGGGU